AGUUUGAUCCUGGCUCAGGAUGAACGCUAGCUACAGGCUUAACACAUGCAAGUCGAGGGGAAACGAUAGAGAAAGCUUGCUUUUUCUAGGCGUCGACCGGCGCACGGGUGAGUAACGCGUAUCCAACCUGCCCACCACUUGGGGAUAACCUUGCGAAAGUAAGACUAAUACCCAAUGAUAUCUCAAGAAGACAUCUGAAUGAGAUUAAAGAUUUAUCGGUGAUGGAUGGGGAUGCGUCUGAUUAGCUUGUUGGCGGGGUAACGGCCCACCAAGGCGACGAUCAGUAGGGGUUCUGAGAGGAAGGUCCCCCACAUUGGAACUGAGACACGGUCCAAACUCCUACGGGAGGCAGCAGUGAGGAAUAUUGGUCAAUGGACGAGAGUCUGAACCAGCCAAGUAGCGUGCAGGAUGACGGCCCUAUGGGUUGUAAACUGCUUUUAUAAGGGAAUAAAGUGAGUCUCGUGAGACUUUUUGCAUGUACCUUAUGAAUAAGGACCGGCUAAUUCCGUGCCAGCAGCCGCGGUAAUACGGAAGGUCCGGGCGUUAUCCGGAUUUAUUGGGUUUAAAGGGAGCGUAGGCCGGAGAUUAAGCGUGUUGUGAAAUGUAGAUGCUCAACAUCUGCACUGCAGCGCGAACUGGUUUCCUUGAGUACGCACAAAGUGGGCGGAAUUCGUGGUGUAGCGGUGAAAUGCUUAGAUAUCACGAAGAACUCCGAUUGCGAAGGCAGCUCACUGGAGCGCAACUGACGCUGAAGCUCGAAAGUGCGGGUAUCGAACAGGAUUAGAUACCCUGGUAGUCCGCACGGUAAACGAUGGAUGCCCGCUGUUGGUCUGAAUAGGUCAGCGGCCAAGCGAAAGCAUUAAGCAUCCCACCUGGGGAGUACGCCGGCAACGGUGAAACUCAAAGGAAUUGACG
rnacentral:rRNA from 1 species